UACGUAGGGUGCGAGCGUUAAUCGGAAUUAUUGGGCGUAAAGGGCGCGUAGGCGGUUUUUUAAGUCGGAUGUGCAAUCCCCAGGCUCAACCUGGGAACUGCAUCCGAGACUGGAAGGCUAGAGUACUGGAGAGGGUGGUGGAAUUCCUCGUGUAGCGGUGAAAUGCGUAGAGAUGAGGAGGAACACCAGUGGCGAAGGCGGCCACCUGGACAGUAACUGACGCUGAGGCGCGAAAGCGUGGGUAGCAAACAGG
rnacentral:rRNA from 1 species